CCGUCGAGUGCCAGAGUGCGAUUGCCCAUAUAUACCAUAACCUAGUCCACGCAUCUCGCGGCCGCCUACGCCCAGGCAAUGCCCCCGCCGCCAGCCAGCCCCCGCCGACGUUGAUACCCAUAGCCACAACACCGUCCGCCGCCGCCUCCCCCAAUAACCGCAGAUCUACACGCUUCGCCACCAAUCCUCGCGAAGAACCUAGUAAACGCCCUCCUCCUCCUCAUCCCCCUUCCAGAUUCUCUGCGAUUUUGCUCAGGUCCUUGUAGUGGCUGUGAAGUUAUUUUCUGCUCAGCCGACAUUGUUAGCUUGAAGCUAACUUGCUAGUAAAGCUGUGAGCCUGAGACAUCCAAAUCUUGUUCCACUUCCCUAGAGCAACCAUAGAGCCCAAGCCUUCCUACCUUGGCUUUUCUGACUAGCUCAACAUGUCUGAGGAAGAGCAACGUGGUUGGAUGCACAGUGGGUGGAGCGAACAUGGGCGCCAUUCUGCCGAGUGGGUGCGCAACACAGAUGCAUUUCUCGACCAUGCUUUCCAGAUUAUGCCUAACGCUGACCAGCUGGGUGUGAAGUGCCCAUGUGACCAGUGCUGCAACAGAAUUAUGCAGAAGCGACCGAUGGUGAGAUCCCACCUUUUUGAACGGGGUUUCAUGCUAUGCUAUAAUAGAUGGACCGAACAUGGAGAGCCUCCUGUUGUUAGUUCGACCAGAACAGAGGAGCCCCUUCACAGUAGAACUGAACUCCCACGUCUAUCGUUCGCUCAACAAAUGAUGGAACUUAAAUCAAAAUUCAAGUUUUCAGAUGAAUGUGUCGACGACCUCCUGGCUAUAGUGUGUGAAGCUGCCCCAGAGGGUCAUAAAGUGCCUGCAAAUGUGCAAGAGUGCAAGAAGUUGCUGGGUCACCUUGAAACACCAAGUAUCAAGACUGAUGAGACUGAGGGGGAAAGCUCAAAGAGAAAACAUGGUCGUAUACCUCGAAAGUGAUGCGCUGGGUGGCUGAAGGAUUGUCUGGUGGUGGCUUCGUUGCAAUUGAUCCUGGUAUUGGAGGUUUCCACCAAAGACGACCAGUUCCAUUAUGAGAUAAUGUUGAUAUGUUGAGUGUCGUACUUUUGUUGAUCAAUUCGGUGUGAAUGAAUUGGAGCUCUAAGUGCUAGUUAACACAUCGAGAUGUCUGAGCUCCAGGUUAUUAUUUAGAGACACCUACCAUGAGUCUUUUGAUGAUGUAUGAGCUCUUAAAUUUUUGUUAACGCGUGUUAUGAAUACUCUUAAGUACUAAAUGACUUUUAGUGUUCAGUAUGUC